rnacentral:rRNA from 1 species
UACGUAGGUGGCAAGCGUUAUCCGGAUUUAUUGGGCCUAAAGGGAACGCAGGCGGUCUUUUAAGUCUGAUGUGAAAGCCUUCGGCUUAACCGGAGUAGUGCAUUGGAAACUGGGAGACUUGAGUGCAGAAGAGGAAAGUGGAACUCCAUGUGUAGCGGUGAAAUGCGUAGAUAUAUGGAAGAACACCAGUGGCGAAAGCGGCUCUCUGGUCUGUAACUGACGCUGAGGUUCGAAAGCGUGGGUAGCAAACAGG